CCAUAAUUUGCAGAGUUCCUGGCUUUUAUUAUUGCAUUGCAUAUAGUCUCAGCCAAGCUCUAAGAGACUAUACAGCCCCUGGCUGGAAUCGGAUUCAAUGCUGUAGUGCAGAGCUCAAAACUGGUUGAGGAAAUCUGAAAGACCAGUUACUGAGAGACCAGAAUGAAUCAGUAGAGUGAGUGUGGUUCUUCAGCUGAAGGCAAGAUGGAGAGGAAGGCAUAAAUUGGUUAAUUUAUACUUCAUCCUAUAAAGAACAGAUUCAAAAGGAAUGUAUAAAAAUUCUAACAGUAUCUGAAAAUGUCAAGGAUACGCGCCAGCCUCCUACAUGACCUACAUCACACAUAGGAUGAUUGGAACCGUUGUAGCUGUGGAACCAGGGUCCUUAGGAUCUGAACAUGGAGACUGGAUACUCCUACUCUUGCUAGUCUAGGGUGAAAUGCCACACCACAGAAUACGGGAUGUGACUUCCUGGACACUUACCAAAAAUAGGCCAGGUGAAUAAAA
rnacentral:lncRNA from 10 species